rnacentral:rRNA from 1 species
GACGAACGCUGGCGGCGUGCUUAACACAUGCAAGUCGAACGGGAUUCAUGGAAGCUUGCUUCCGGAAGAUCUAGUGGCGAACGGGUGCGUAACACGUGAGAAACCUGCCCCAGACUUGGGAAUAACAGGCGGAAACGACUGCUAAUACCGAAUACCUUCGGACCGUCGCAUGGCGGACCGAAGAAAGCUUUUGCGGUUUGGGGGGGUCUCCCGGCCUAUCAGCUAGUUGGUGGGGUAACGGCUCACCAAGGCAUCGACGGGUAGCUGGUCUGAGAGGAUGAUCAGCCACACUGGGACUGAGACACGGCCCAGACUCCUACGGGAGGCAGCAGUGGGGAAUAUUGCACAAUGGGCGAAAGCCUGAUGCAGCAACGCCGCGUGCGGGAAGAAGGCCUUAGGGUUGUAAACCGCUUUCAGCAGGGAAGAAGAUGACGGUACCUGCAGAAGAAGGUGCGGCCAACUACGUGCCAGCAGCCGCCGUAAAAC